CCUGGAGAUAGAGUGCACUUCUAGGGUAUAAUCUUCACAAAACCCCCCCUUGGUUCUAACCAAGGCAGUUGGUUCUACUAAACUCUUAGAGAAAUUAUAUUAAUAAACGAAGUGAAUUGAAAUAUCUUAGUAACUUCAGGAAAAUAAAUCAAACGAGAUUCUAUGAUUAGUGUGAACGAAAGUAGAAAAGCCUAAAUAUUAAGCAAGUAAAAUGGAUUAAUCUGUUUGAAUAUAGGGGAACCUUCCUCUAAGGCUAAAUAUGAUAUAUAAGCGAUAGUGAAUGAGUACCGUGAGGGAAAUGUUUUGAAAUAGUAGUUUUAUAAGCAGCUCGAGUGAAGUUUAAAUAAAAAACAAGAGCGUACCUUUUGUAUAAUGGGUCAGCAAGUUAAUAUUAGAUGCGAGCAUAGCACUAUGCCUAGAUAAACCGAUUAUGAAAUAAUGAAUAAGUAUCUAGUAUUAGACCCGAAGCCUAGUGAUCUUACCAUAAUCAGGAUUAUAAAAGUCCGAACGGGUUAUCGUUGUAAAGAUAUCCGAAGAAUUGUGGUAAGUUAGUGAAAGACAAAACUGACUAGGAUAGCUGGUAAAAAUUAGUGUGAGCUACUAAUUAGGCCAGUAAGUAGAAGUGAACCUUCUGCUAUAGACCAUCAAAUUGACGGGAAAGCCCUAAAGCAAAUUCAACCAAACAAAUGUGGUAACACAUUUGUGGCGCAGGUAAUGACUCGCGGUAAGGUAACAUCGAAAUUGAUAGCGAAAGUGAAUGGGUAAUCCGCAGCCAAGCACCUUAUGGGUGUGCAGUUCAUCGACUAAAUGUUGGUUGGCGCAAGCUUAAGAUAUAGUCAAGCCUCAUCCAAAAGGAUGCAGAAUAAUAAAAUACUUUUUUUAUUUAAUUUUCCGCCUUUAAGGCACAUAUCUAAUCCUUUAUUACCUUCAAAUAGACUUAGGUUGUACCUUUUGUAUAAUAGGUAAACAAUCCUAAAGGAAAACAUAUCUUCUAAUGUUUUACAUUAGAGGUAUGAAUCCGAAUCUUUUUUUUUAAUAGCCGAUAAACUAUCACAAGUAAAUACUAAUACAGAAUUAGAAUAUGCAAGUUUAACUGAUGCAGCUAAGGCUAUAGCUGUUAGUAGAACAGCUGUAAAAAAAGCUCUUGACACAGGUAGAACUGUAAAAGGAUAAUAUAUAGUAGCCACAAAAAAUUAAAUAAAAAAAGUAUUUUAUUAUUUGUAAAUGGAUAGCUAAUAGCUAUUUAGGGAGAAGGACCUCAGCUCGGCCCUUUAAAGUUUUAUUCAUAUUCACAAUAAAAAAAAUAAAGGCUAAAGAUGGUCAUAUCUGUUUCCGCGAAACCUAUAUAAGUAGGUAAUUCAAGUAACAUCUUAGCAGGUACAGAACUGUGAUCUCAGGUAAAAUUAUAUUAUUUUAGAAAUCUAAAAUAAUAAUUUUGCAUACAUCGGGGGAUCGUGAAGAUUUUAUCGGUGAGUAUUUGCUCUCGGAAGGGCAAAGAUGAUUAUUGAAUAAUCAGACAUAGUACGAUAAGGUUGUAUGUCUAAAGGGAAACAGCCCAGAACAAGUGUUUAAGGUUCCAAAAUUAUUGUUAAGUGAAAUUAAGGAAGUAUUUUUCAAAUACAACCAGGAAAUAGGCUUAGAAGCGGCCAUUUUUUGAAGACCUCGUAACAGAGCACUGGUUCAAUUAUAAAUUAAUAUAAAUUUAUACAAGUUAAAAGCGCCAAAAAUAUAACGGAUCUAAAACAAUAUACCGAAACCUUGUCCAUAUUUAUAAAUAUAUAGGAAGUUAAAGAUCUGGGUGAAAUCUUUAUUUUUUUUUUUGAAAUAAAGAUUUCACUUUUUAUAGUAAUAAUAAUAAUUAACAAAUCUUUAAGCUUCAUGCUUCAAUAUGUAGCAAAGAUAUUGUAUUUAUGGGGUAGCGGAACGUUGGGGAAAUCUUAGAUUUUUACUUUUUAAGUAAAAAAAUUAGAUAACCCAAGUGAGAAUGCUGACAUGAGUAACGAAAAAGGGGAAUACCCUCGCCUUAAGCUUAUGGAAUUUCUUUAAAGUAACGGCCUCUAAGUUUACAGACCUGUCCUAAAGGAUUAAACGAUGAGAAAAUCUUCCUUAUGUAUGACAACCUUAGAAUAAUAGUUAAUCUGUUUAAUAGAUAAGAAGAUUUUGUAUUAACAGUUAAUGCAUUUGAAGAUUUUGUAUUAACACUGUUAAUGCAUUUGAAGGUCAUGUUAAAUGCGCCAUGAUAUAUCAAAUCUGGUCUACUAACCAGAUUUGAUAUACCGACCAGUAAAGCUGGAUACUCUGUCACUGCUUGCCACAGGGCCUAUGAUCGUUGCAGGCCUACUGGUUCUUAUUUUUUAGUAUUGAAUUAUAUGGCAAGUAUUUUCAGUAUAUCCCUUUUCCCUGCAGAGGAAAUAUCCCCUCUAAAGGAAACUUAGGGAAAUAAACUGUAUAGUAACAAAGGAUGCUAGACAGAUAUUAAAUAGAUUAAUAGUUGAGAGUACUAAGCGUUCUGGAAAAAGACAUAAGGGUAAAACCGUACCUAGAAACUACCACCAGUAAGCAAGUAGAGAAUACGAAGGCGUUUGAGCUAACAAUCAUUAAGGAACUCGGCAAAUUGACUCCGUAACUGCGGGAUAAGGAGUGCCAUUCUAACUGGAUAAUAUCAGAUUUAGAAGAGGAGGCACAGAAUGGUGUUGUACGACUGUUUAAUUAAAACACAGCACUUUGCGUAAGAUGACAAAUCGAAGUAUAAAGUGUGCCGUCUGCCCGAUGAUGGAUGGUUAACGAAUUUAUUUAGCUGACUAAAAUAGGUUAGGUUUUGAAGGAACCCCCAUUCAAUGGCGGCCUUAUCUAUAAGGGUCCUAAGGUAGCGGAAUACCUUGGCCGUUAAAUGCGGUCUUUGCAUGUUUUCUCUUUAGUUUAGGUAACUAAAGUAAAGGAUUAACCAAUAAAAAAAAAUAAAUAAGGGAGAAAUCUCUCCAAGCC
rnacentral:ncRNA from 1 species